ACGGCAGCACAGCAGUAGCAAUACUGUGGGUGGCGAGUGGCGGACGGGUGAGGAAUACAUCGGAAUCUGCCUUAUCGUGGGGGAUAACGUAGGGAAACUUACGCUAAUACCGCAUACGACCUACGGGUGAAAGCGGAGGACCUUCGGGCUUCGCGCGAUAAGAUGAGCCGAUGUCGGAUUAGCUAGUUGGCGGGGUAAAGGCCCACCAAGGCGACGAUCCGUAGCUGGUCUGAGAGGAUGAUCAGCCACACUGGAACUGAGACACGGUCCAGACUCCUACGGGAGGCAGCAGUGGGGAAUAUUGGACAAUGGGCGCAAGCCUGAUCCAGCCAUGCCGCGUGGGUGAAGAAGGCCUUCGGGUUGUAAAGCCCUUUUGUCCGGAAAGAAAAGCUUCGGGCUAAUACCCCGGGGUUCUGACGGUACCGGAAGAAUAAGCACCGGCUAACUUCGUGCCAGCAGCCGCGGUAAUACGAAGGGUGCAAGCGUUACUCGGAAUUACUGGGCGUAAAGCGUGCGUAGGUGGUUUGUUAAGUCUGAUGUGAAAGCCCUGGGCUCAACCUGGGAAUUGCAUUGGAUACUGGCAGGCUAGAGUGCGGUAGAGGAUGGCGGAAUUCCCGGUGUAGCAGUGA
rnacentral:rRNA from 1 species